rnacentral:lncRNA from 1 species
UCCCUCCAUCUUUCCUUUUCCUCCCACAACUUCAAACCCUAAAACCUAAUUUUUUUCUUCAAUCUCACUUUCUCUCAAUCUGAAACCUAUAGAUCUUCAUCACUCUCACACUCAAUCUCACUUUCCUUUAAUCUCACUCUUACCCUUGUUUUUGUCAAUUUCACCGGCGCUCACCCUCAAUCUCACUCUCACCCUCGGCUCCCUCAAUAUCACUCUCAAUCGACGAAGACUCAUCGUCAAUCUGACUCUCUCACUACCACCCUCGCCUAUCACCACCAAGUUUUUCGCGGUUUCGCGAUCUCAGUUCUGUGCAAUUGGGGUUCUUCGUGGGUUUCACCGUGGUUCAUAGUUCUUCAGCUCUCAUACUUCAGUUUAUCAAGGUAGUGCUUUUCACUCUUCAAGCACAAUUGAGAACGCGUCAUCCAAUAUAGGCUCUAAAGUUAUAAGGUACAACGAGAUAUUUGACGACAUCAUUUUGGCUAACGAUGUCGACUCACUUCUCAGUUUCGUUAUGGCAAGUGACAAGAUCAUGGAAUGAAAGAUUGUUCUAGAGGGCACGCGAGAAUGCAGCAGGGUGGGGAAAAGUAAAACUCCUAUUAUUAUGAAGAGAGCUGCAUAGUAACAAAGAGGGGGAUUCACGUUUUAUCACACAACAAGGAGCAGCAAGCACAUCACGUUUUGGAGAAUUGCGACGGGAGGCACAACAACAACAUAAAGAGGAUGAACCUUUGAGUGAAGCAUUCACCAUCCGGUUUAGUUUUUCUUCUAAGUUGUUUAUUCCUUUUGUAAUGAGUAGCUAAUUCUCUGUUGUUAUUAAUAUGAUUCAGUACUCAUAAUUAUUUUUGCUUAAUGCUUUUUUUAAUAUCGUGUGUAUCACUAUUAACA